rnacentral:rRNA from 1 species
UACGUAGGGCGCAAGCGUUGUCCGGAAUUAUUGGGCGUAAAGAGCUCGUAGGCGGCUUGUCACGUCGGGUGUGAAAGCCCGGGGCUUAACCCCGGGUCUGCAUUCGAUACGGGCUAGCUAGAGUGUGGUAGGGGAGAUCGGAAUUCCUGGUGUAGCGGUGAAAUGCGCAGAUAUCAGGAGGAACACCGGUGGCGAAGGCGGAUCUCUGGGACAUUACUGACGCUGAGGAGCGAAAGCGUGGGGAGCGAACAGG